CGGCGUCAUUUCCUAUUUCACUCCAUCAGUUAUCGCUCAGCUGGGACGCAUUGCGACACAACUUUCACUGGACGAACUGGCGUCACUCAGACUGUCGGAACUUCUCUCUAUCGCACCUUUAGGAGCUGUUAGCACCUGGACCAGGAAGCAGUUAGGAGUUUUGUUCUCCACCGUGCUGAACUUCACUAAACAAACCCCGAGUCAGCUGAAUUCCAGCUCUUUAGUGUCUCUGGGACACAUCGUUUGUGGGAUCGACGCUCCGCUCAUCAACACUCUUAAUCCUGUACAGUUCAGUACGGCGGUGCUGUGGCUGGGGCGUCUCAAUCUCUCGUGUUCGGAGGAUCAGCUUCAGGCCUUCGUCUCUCUGCUCAGCAGCAGUCAUGGGUUCGGACCCAUCAGCUCCUGGGGUCCGGAGGUGUUCCUCGAGAUCGGAG